CAGAGGAAGUUGCGACAUUCCAGUUAGCUCAGAGCCGACAGAGGAGCACCAGAGCACCGGAGGACGGCGUUCUUUACGGACUUUGCCGUGUCACAGCAGCAGCCGGGAGCCCGAAGGACUCUUCGUGAUUUGGGAACUGGCCCACAUGCUGUGGUUUUGAUAGCGGAGGCGGGCGCGUGCUGGUGUUCCCCGUAGUUCAGGUAUGUCUUCCAUGUUCUCCUGGGUUGCAGUGUCCCUUCUCACCGUGGUUUCCACGGCGACUGGCAUCCCUCAGGAUGGCGAGUGUAAGGACUAUGGGGUGGAUUUUGA
rnacentral:lncRNA from 1 species